GACAGAGGGGGCAAGCGUUGCUCGGAAUUACUGGGCGUAAAGGGCGCGUAGGCGGGAUGGCAAGUCGGUCGUGAAAUCCCUCGGCUCAACCGAGGAACGUCGAUCGAUACUGCUGUUCUUGAGGAUUGCAGAGGAGACUGGAAUUCCCGGUGUAGCGGUGAAAUGCGUAGAUAUCUGGAGGAACACCGGUGGCGAAGGCGGCGUCCUGGACCAACACUGACACUGAGGAGCGAAAGCCAGGGGAGCAAACGGG
rnacentral:rRNA from 1 species